rnacentral:lncRNA from 1 species
UGAGAAGCCAACUCUGCGUUAUGUUGUUGCUGGUUAGUAGCUUACUUCCAGCAAACAGAACAGGAUCAUAGGAAGACUCGUACUGGGCUGUCAAAAGUAACCCUUAGAGGUCAGCAAAGAAGAUUCUUGUGGUUGAAGGAUACAGGAGCAGUCUCAGAAAAGCUAUCUUAUUGGACGGGUCACCGCGGCGAAACCAGAAUCGUGCCCGGGCUCCUGGAACUCCUGCCCGUCCUCGCUGCCGGCGUGGUCCCCCUUGGACUGUUAUGAAGAUUGAUUAAUGUUUGCAAAGCAUUUUAAUACAACAUUUUACAUUCUCAAUGUUAAAUAUUGGCAUUCUAGUGGGUUUACAAGAAAAUGUUCCCUAGAGUCCAGUAAAUGUCUGAAGUCAUUGAAAAUAAAGGUAUGAAAUACAGUAGAAAGC